CACGAGGGGUGCAAGCGUUGUUCGGAAUCACUGGGCGUAAAGGGUUCGUAGGCGGAUUGGAAAGUCAGAUGUUUAAAACCGGGGCCUAACCCCGGCUAGGUGUUUGAAACUUCCAAUCUUGAAUAGGUCAGAGGUAAGUGGAAUUCUUAGUGUAGCGGUGGAAUGCGUAGAGAUUAAGAAGAACACCAAUUGCGAAGGCAGCUUACUGGGACCAUAUUGACGCUGAUGGACGAAAGUGUGGGUAGCGAACAGG
rnacentral:rRNA from 1 species